ACAAUGGAAUCAAUGAAUGCUGGAAAAAAUCUUUACUCAUGCAUACAUGUUGGAUACAGAGGUCAGCAUAAAAGCCUUAAAGUACUUUGCAGGCUGGGCAGACAAGAUUCAUGGCCAAACAAUACCAAGUGGUGAGUACAUGUGGGAAACUGGCAGCAUGACGGUAGAGGAGAGGCCACUAUGCGGAGCUGGGUACCUUCAAAUUGUCCCUGGUAGAGGCAUU
rnacentral:lncRNA from 1 species